GCCCUGGUGGCAUAAUGGUUAAGCACUUGGCUGCUAACUGAAAGUUUGGUGGUUCAAACCCACCCAGUGGCU
rnacentral:tRNA from 1 species